CACAGAGGUGGCUAGCGUUGUUCGGAUUUAUUGGGCGUAAAGGGUCCGUAGGCGGUUUGGAAAGUCAGAUGUGAAAUCCCACAGCCCAACUGUGGAGCUGCAUUUGAAACUUCCAGACUAGAGUGUGAGAGGGGUAAAGGGAAUUCCCGGUGUAAGGGUGAAAUCUGCAGAGAUCGGGAGGAACACCAGUCGCGAAGGCGCUUUACUGGCUCACGACUGACGCUCAGGGACGAAAGCUAGGGUAGCAAAC
rnacentral:rRNA from 1 species